ensembl:lncRNA
CUGCCUCUAUCAAGUUUAUGUCCCAUUAAGUGCUUCAGUGGCCAUAGGAUUACCAGCAGAGUGGUAUGUUGUUCAUUUAUUUUCCCUGGGACUUGGUCUCCACAUGUACAUGGCCCUCGUGAGCAUACACAUGACUUGGUUCCACCAAUAUAGCUUCAUUCAACCUUUAAGACAACAACAGGAAAUAAUUUCUUAUUGCCCAAAGAUUUCAGCUCACUCUGACCUUCAGAGCUCCUCAGUGCCUGCAUGCUCAGCACACUGUGUUCUGGGGGCAACGUAAAGGUGGAUCUUACGGUUACAUCCUGAUUAGUAUGUCCAAAUGGGGGCCCAAGCACUUCCUGCACUGCUGAGAAUAGCUCCAACAUGCACACAGUUUUAUUAUUACGUCUAUAUCUGUUGGUUUUUUUUUUUUUUUUUUUCAUUUCUCCCCACACACACCCUGGUUUUGGCUGCAACAGAAAAUAAUGGGUCUGUGGGUGGAUUCAAGAUGUCAGAUAGAGAGAACAAGCACCGCUGCUCACUUUGUAGUAAGGCAGGGAACGGUAUUAAAGCAGCAGAUAUCAAGGAGCAGGGCCGCAGCAGCAGUAGCUCAUCCAAAGCAAUAACAACGCAUGAAGGCAAGCCAUGGCAACUGAAGGAAGGCUGGAAUCUAGCAUACCCAUGGUCUUGUUCUUAUUAUUACAACACAGCGUGACUAAAAAUAUCAAACCAAACAAAAGAAAUUCCUGCAGGCAAGGGGUAAGAGAGGAGGCCGACCACUGCUGGAAAUGGAACUUAUUGUUCACCUAAGUAGUGCAGCGGGGAACAGAAAUCACAGAAGCAAAGGCCAAGAUCAACAGCAGGAGGAGCACUGGAAGUAACAACAAUGUUCCUGAACAAGGAGCACAGACUCCAGAAGGGGGUAUCUAAUUUACAGCGAAGCCCCCGGGACCGCUGUCAUCGGCACUGGUAGGAGUGAGAUCACAGCCCGAGGAUUCAUUCAUUUUCUGAGAAAGUAGAUUUUAGUACAGCAAAGAACUCACAUAAGGACUUCUAUGAAGAAUAAGUUCCUUGAUCAAAAAUAAGAUGGUACAUCACCUUAGAGGGCAGUCAUCUGGAUCUGAAGCAAGAGUGAAUGACUCUCCCUAGACUUCUGGGGGGAAUACAGGCAUCUAGUGAUGGCACUGUUUCUUUCCAAGUCUAUUUCUUGAGUAAAAAUCCUCUCUCUGAAACCUCCAUACGUAGUGCCAGAAAUGAACCAUUACACGUCGGGGCAGCACACAACUCCUCAGUGCACACAUACACACACACAAGCUGAUUUGUGCUUAUACCACAGAUAGCUCCAUCAGUCCAAUUCAAUUUCAAGAUGCACAUCAGCUCUAUUAGUUUAGGUGAUGCACUGGUCAGGUACCCUAUAUUCAGUGACUGCGUGGUGCCCAUUUCUGAGGCUACCAAACAGUCUAAGCAGAUUUUUCGUUUGUUUGUUUUGUUAAAGAAAUACUGUGAGGAAAUAAGCCAAUCUGCAGUGAGAAAAAGCUACCUUAUCAGGUUACAGCAACUAAAAACUCUGUAUGGAGGAAGAAGUUUAGGGAUUACAUUUCUAGAGGAAGUGGAGGCUACUCAUUUUGGUUAGGAGCCUAUUCCUUCCAAUAGUUACACAUGAAAUUCAGUUAAGUGAUAGUUACUUCUGUAUGCACACACUUUGAUACAAGUGACCCCAAAGUACCCACAGGUGGGCACGUGAACAUUAAGUGACCCAGUGGUGGGAACUCACUAAAAGAGCUGUUUUUCAGCUCAAAACUGUGCAGCACGUGGAGGCUAUAAAAGUGUACUACAACAAAAACACUAAACUGUAUUGCAUGGUUAACACACGCCAUCACAGUGAAGCCCUGUAAUGCAUCCUUUGCCACUUUUUCUCAUAUUAUGAGAAUACUUUUUAAGGGCUUCAUCAUCCCCAGCAGCAGAAACUGCCUUCUGGAAAGAACAAGACCCGAAGCAUUAUCUGAUAUUAUCUGUUCACCUGCAGAGUAUGUGCAUGAAAGGCAACAACACAACUCUGCUCCUUUGGACGUGAGAUGGGGCAAUUAAGAGAAGAGAAUACACAGUAAAUCUCCAGAGCAAUUCCUUUCUCAGCCCUUCUGCUAAGUAUUCAGAUUGGAAAAAGAUUUUCAGAAUUACACGGGGAGGAGUCCAAAAUUCAGUUGAUCAACAGCCAGUGAUUCAGAUAUUAAAUUUUUUGUGAUCCAUCGCUUCAUCUCUCUCUGAGAUUGCCUCAUGGGGAAACACUACAAAAUAAAACUUCAAUACUACCAUAAGCUCCAAAUAAAGCUUUUCUCUUUGAUUGCCUCUAUCUCAUCUGUCUGCUUAGAUUUGUGUGUCUAGUUAAGUGAAUACAGAAGACCAUACACUUGAAAUGAAAACUACACAGAGUACACUCUUGACUUGUUACCAUAAUUUACCUUCUAAGUGGAACCUCUUAUGAGCCUACUCAAUUAUAUUAAAAAUGACUGUGCGUUUAUUUCGACACAGUGUACACACUGAAACACGCAUUCUAAAAUCCCGAGCUGAUGUAAAAUUGCAGAGCCUCAUCAAAAUGCAGAGGGCAUUCCUGAUUUACACCAGCACAUGCAGGGCCCCCAGAACCUUUCACACCGCAACACUUUUCCCGUGGGGAGCAAUACCAGUGCUAAGCAAUAAAAAGAAGUUGGUUUUAUAUCUAAUGUUGAUUUCUUCUCCAAUCUGAGACUUUAUUUCAUGCUUUUUCGUGCAACAAUACCUUGAAUGCACGGCAGAUUUACACUGAAAAACAGAGUUUAAAAAUACUUGUUAAAUGCUGAAGGCUUGACAGUUCCUUUAAAUAAUACUGAAAAAAUGCACGAGAACAUUUUGGUAGUGGAAUGAAAAAUGCUACGGUUUACAGCUCUA